rnacentral:rRNA from 1 species
GAUGAACGCUGGCGGCGUGCCUAAUACAUGCAAGUCGAGCGAAUGGAUUAAGAGCUUGCUCUUAUGAAGUUAGCGGCGGACGGGUGAGUAACACGUGGGUAACCUGCCCAUAAGACUGGGAUAACUCCGGGAAACCGGGGCUAAUACCGGAUAACAUUUUGAACCGCAUGGUUCGAAAUUGAAAGGCGGCUUCGGCUGUCACUUAUGGAUGGACCCGCGUCGCAUUAGCUAGUUGGUGAGGUAACGGCUCACCAAGGCAACGAUGCGUAGCCCACCUGAGAGGGGUGUCGGCGACAAUGGGACUGAGCAACGGCCCAGACUCCUACGGGAGGCAGCAGUAGGGAAUCUUCGGCAAUGGACGAAAGUCUGACGGAGCAACGCCGCGUGAGUGAUGAAGGCUGUCGGGUCGUAAAACUCUGUUGUUAGGGAAGAACAAGUGCUAGUUGAAUAAGCUGGCACCUUGACGGUACCUAACCAGAAAGCCACGGCUAACUACGUGCCAGCAGCCGCGGUAA